rnacentral:misc_RNA from 1 species
GCUAUAAGAGCAUCAACCACUAGUCGUGCAUUGCGCCGUUCGCUCGGUAUCCUCUUUAUCCGACGAGCUGAACCUAUUGCCCAUGCGCCAAUGAACGAGAGCUUCCUCUUCAAGUUCUCAGUGCGGCCUGUACCAGUGCGAAAUCCAUAAGGGGGAAGUUGUUGCAUUUUACUUAGUUCUCUAUCGCUGAAUUGAGCUUGGCCUUGUAGGAUGUCCAUCGCCGUCAAACCAUUCAUAUUCUUUAUGUCGCUAUAUACAAACGUUUCGAUCAAUUGUUUUACUACCUGUCGUUGAUUUCUAGAAGCAGCAAUAUGUAGUACAGUGUUGCCUUCCUUGUUCUU